rnacentral:ncRNA from 1 species
AUCGGGGGUGCCCCAGUGGCUGAGACGGCUUUGCCGAACCCUUAUACCUGAUACGGAUAAUGCCGGCGUAGGGAGAUUGCUUU